rnacentral:rRNA from 1 species
AGUGAACGCUGGCGGCGUGCCUAAUCCAUGCAAGUCGAAGGAAUUGGCGCCCGGGUGAGUAAUAUAUAGCUAAUCUGCCCCUUGCUGGAGGACAACAGUUAGAAAUAACUGCUAAUACUCCAUAGCAAGGGAUGAUACUAUAUCGUAUCAGCUAGUAGGUGGGGUAACGGCCUACCGAGGCUAUGACGAGUAACUGGUCUGAAAGGAUGAUCAUGCACAUUGGAACUGAGACAAGUGCCGAACACCGCGGGGGGGCAGAAAGCGGGAAUAUUGCACAAUGGGGGAAACACUGCGGCAUCAACGCCGCGUGGAGGAUGACACUUUUCGGAGCGUAAACUCCUUUUGUAAGGGAAGCGGAACCGAACGAAGAAGCACCGGUGAACUCCUUGCCAGCCGCCGCGGAAUAC